rnacentral:rRNA from 1 species
UUCCGGUUGAUCCUGCCAGAGGCUACUGCUAUCGGGGUCCGACUAAGCCAUGCGAGUUGAGAGGGGUAAGCCCUCGGCAUAUUGCUCAGUAACACGCGGAUAACCUGCCCUUGGGUUUGGGAUAACCCCGGGAAACUGGGACUAAUACCGGAUAGAUCAAAGAAACUGGAAUGUUCUCUGAUCGAAAGCUCCGGCGCCCAAGGACGGGUCUGCGGCCUAUCAGGUAGUAGUGGGUGUAACGUACCUACUAGCCUACGACGGGUAAGGGUUGUGAGAGCAAGAGCCCUGAGAUGGAUUCUGAGACAUGAAUCCAGGCCCUACGGGGUGCAGCAGGCGCGAAAACUUUACACUGCGGGAAACCGCGAUAAGGGGACCCCGAGUGCCAGCACCUAGUGCUGGCUGUCCAGCUGUUCAAAUAACAGUUGUUAGCAAGGGCCGGGCAAGACCGGUGCCAGCCGCCGCGGUAACACCGGCGGCCCGAGUGGUAGCCGUUAUUAUUGGGUUUAAAGGGUCCGUAGCCGGCCUAUUAAGUCUCUUGGGAAAUCUGGCGACUCAAUCGUCAGGCGUUCAAGAGAUACUGGUAGGCUUGGGACCGGGAGAGGUGGGAGGUACUCCAGGGGUAGGGGUGAAAUCUCGUAAUCCUUGGGGGACCACCGAUGGCGAAGGCAUCCCACCAGAACGGGUCCGACGGUGAGGGACGAAAGCUGGGGGCACGAACCGGAUUAGAUACCCGGGUAGUCCCAGCCGUAAACGAUGCUCGCUAGGUGUCAGGUGCGGUGCGACCGCAUCUGGUGCCGCAGUGAAAACUUGAAGCGAGUCACCUGGGAAGUACGGUCGCAAGGCUGAAACUUAAAGGAAUUGGCGGGGGAGCACUACAACGGGUGGAGCCUGCGGUUCAAUUGGAUUCAACGCCGGG